CGCUUCCACCAAAACUGACCAUAUGUGCACUUAAAUUUGUAAAUCUAUAUACCAUAUAUACCCGCAUAGUAAUUCAGCCAUAUUUUUGUAUGUCAGGAUUCAAUGUAUAAUACAAUGGAUUGCAAUAUUGCAAUACAAUAACCAGCUGAUAACAACAAAUUUUUGUUUCGCAUAAAUUUGAGUGCCAGCAUGUCCUCCUUAUAUUCAAAAUAUUGAUACGUAACAAAAUUUCAAUAGUUUUGAUACCUCAUGCUGACUUGUACAAUGAAAUAAUUUGACCGCAUUGACCAAGACCAAAACUGACCAUAUG
rnacentral:lncRNA from 1 species